rnacentral:rRNA from 1 species
AAUAUUGGACAAGGGGGGCAACGCUGACCCAGCCAUGCCGCGUGUGUGAAGAAGGNCUNNGGAUUNUNAAUCACGUCAAGUUGNNNNNAAGGGCUUUAGACUAAUACCCUGAAGUUCUGACGCUACCAACAGAAUAAGCACCGGCUAACGCUGUGCCAGCAGCCGCGGUAAUACAGAGGGUGCAAGCGUUCAUCGGAAUUACUGGGCGUAAAGCGCGCGUAGGUGGUUCAGUAAGAUGGGUGUGAAAUCCCCGGGCUUAACCUGGGAACUGCUUUCAUAACUGCUGAGCUAGAGUACGGUAGAGGGUAGUGGAAUUUCCUGUGUAGCGGUGAAAUGCGUAGAUAUAGGAAGGAACACCAGUGGCGAAGGCGACUACCUGGACUGAUACUGACACUGAGGUGCGAAAGCGUGGGGAGCAAA